GAUGAACGCUGGCGGCGUGCCUAAUACAUGCAAGUCGAGCGAACAGACGAGGGGCUUGCUCCUCUGACGUUAGCGGCGGACGGGUGAGUAACACGUGGAUAACCUACCUAUAAGACUGGGAUAACUUCGGGAAACCGGAGCUAAUACCGGAUAAUAUAUUGAACCGCAUGGUUCAAUAGUGAAAGACGGUUUUGCUGUCACUUAUAGAUGGAUCCGCGCCGCAUUAGCUAGUUGGUAAGGUAACGGCUUACCAAGGCGACGAUGCGUAGCCGACCUGAGAGGGUGAUCGGCCACACUGGAACUGAGACACGGUCCAGACUCCUACGGGAGGCAGCAGUAGGGAAUCUUCCGCAAUGGGCGAAAGCCUGACGGAGCAACGCCGCGUGAGUGAUGAAGGUCUUCGGAUCGUAAAACUCUGUUAUUAGGGAAGAACAAAUGUGUAAGUAACUAUUCACGUCUUGACGGUACCUAAUCAGAAAGCCACGGCUAACUACGUG
rnacentral:rRNA from 1 species